GAUGAUUUCUAUACAGUCCACUCCAGUUCUGCUGUUCCCAUCAUUGUUGGUUUGGCUGUUUGUUUGGCUCUUUGCAUCGUGUCUAUUCUGUUACUUGUUUUCUUUCUGUUGAGUAAGUCACAAAUUAUUUGCAAUUCUUUGUGAAUAUCAAGUUCUCACAGGUUUCAUGAAAUAGUGAAUCGUGGAAAAUAAUGAUGUUUAUUUUGAUAAAGAUGUCAGUAUUUGUCAGAGGUCAAAGGUUAUGGUGUUGUUAAAACUGCAGUGCAAUCAGACUCAAAUGUCUGAUGUGCUGUGAUAUCUUCCAACAAUGGAAGUCACUCUUUUAUACUUUGAUAUUACUGCCUUUAUUUUUGCACAGAGAUCAAGAAAUAUCAUAGAGAUGACAACGAUAGAGAGAAAAACUGUUCUAAAAGAAAUAAAACUGCAGAUCAGUCUGUCACUAAAGAAGAAACAGAGAGAGUGACACUGAUGACGGUGCAGAUGAAGAAUGUGAACAAGAAAAAAAGGAAAAAAGAAGAGCAAACAUCAGAACAACACCAGCAUAGCACCUGACGUUGAGGUCGACCAACACGGCAAAUAUAUUCGUCUCAGAAACUCGUCCAAUGAGGAGCAACAACUGGGAGGAUGGAGGUUAGAAGUCCGGUUAAAUAAGACAGAAUCCUUCAUGUACACAUUUGAGAACUCAAUCAAACUACAGGCUGGAAACACUGUCACUUUGUGGGCUCCAGGUCGUGGUACCCAUUAUCCUCCCACUGACCUGUUGUGGAGUGACCUGAAGUUGAGCCCUGGAGACAAACUGCAGGUCACUCUCAUCAGCAACACUGGAGACAUUCACCAUAACUCAGAUCAUAUUAUCUCUGGAAGAUAAUAUUUAUUAGACAAUAUUAUUUUAUUUUAUAGACAUAUAUUUUAUUGUGAAAUCAACAACAUUUGAUCUUUUAUAUUUUAUGUUUGUUUAAAAUGAGGCAACAGGUUUGCUUUUAUUUUUUGCUACUCUUCAUUGAUUAGUAAGAAUAAAAAUCUUAAAUAUUGAAUUGCUAGCCACGGGGUUAGGACUGAAGGUAAAAUAAACUGGAAUGCAACUUUUGUUCUGUAUUUUUACUGAAUUGAAUCUAUAUGUUAACAUUUAUUCUCCAUUGACACACACAGUUUCUGGUUUGGACAGUAAAGAUAUUAUUUUUUAUUCUGUUUUGUAUUGUUUGUAAAUGAGUUCAUACUCUCAGUUUAGAAUUAUCUGCUCCAUGUUUCUGUAAUAAAGAGGUUUAUUUCAACCCUGUGGCACUUUCAAUAGUCCAAAUGCUGAUUAAUUAUUCUCUUAAUUAUUAA